CGGGGGCCCGCACAAGCGGUGGAGCAUGUGGUUUAAUUCGAUGCAACGCGAAGAACCUUACCUUACUCUUGACAUCCAGAGAAUUUGCUAGAGAUAGCUUAGUGCCUUCGGGAACUCUGAGACAGGUGCUGCAUGGCUGUCGUCAGCUCGUGUUGUGAAAUGUUGGGUUAAGUCCCGCAACGAGCGCAACCCUUAUCCUUUGUUGCCAGCGAGUAAUGUCGGGAACUCAAAGGAGACUGCCGGUGAUAAACCGGAGGAAGGUGGGGAUGACGUCAAGUCAUCAUGGCCCUUACGAGUAGGGCUACACACGUGCUACAAUGGCAUAUACAAAGAGAAGCGAACUCGCGAGAGCAAGCGGACCUCAUAAAGUAUGUCGUAGUCCGGAUUGGAGUCUGCAACUCGACUCCAUGAAGUCGGAAUCGCUAGUAAUCGUAGAUCAGAAUGCCUACGGUCGAAUACGUUCCGGGCCUU
rnacentral:rRNA from 1 species